rnacentral:rRNA from 1 species
AUUGAACGCUGGCGGCAGGCCUAACACAUGCAAGUCGAACGAGUGGCGGACGGGUGAGUAAUGUCUGGGAAACUGCCUGAUGGAGGGGGAUAACUACUGGAAACGGUAGCUAAUACCGCAUACCAUCAGAUGUGCCCAGAUGGGAUUAGCUAGUGGGUGGGGUAACGGCUCACCUAGGCGACGAUCCCUAGCGGGUCUGAGAGGAUGACCAGCCACACUGGAACGGAGACACGGGCCAGACGCCUACGGGAGGCAGCAGUGGGGAAUAUUGCACAAUGGGGGCAGGCCUGAGGCAGCCAUGCCGCGGGUAUGAAGAAGGCCUUCGGGUUGUAAAGUACUUUCAGCGGGGAGGCGUUACCCGCAUAAGAAGCACCGGCUAACUCCGUGCCAGCAGCCGCGGUAAUUC